AGUCAGCUGCUAAGAAGACUCUGAGAUCAGAUCAGUUGUCAAAAGAAGCAAAACCAGCCAAGCUGCCUAGAAGAGGUCUAGAGCAACCGAGACACUCCUAAAGACACCUCCAGCCUGUGUGCCUGCAGGCCUUGCAUUGUGCUCCACCGUCUGAGGUUUUGUGGGCUGUCGUUCAUGCAGGUUGGACUUUGGUGGCUUCCUUACUGUGGUUCUGUGGUGAGCCUCCUAUCUGGGGUAUGAUGUCAAGGCCUCCUUGCUGGGUUUUCUGAUGAUGGCGAAGCAUAACGGAGCUUCAAGUGCUGGGAUGAACAUUACAUGGGAGAAUGGUCAAACAGCCACACAGUCUUCUAACUGCCUUUCCUGUAAGAUGUUGCCUGUUCAGCUUCUGACUGAGUCAUCACACAGGCUGUAUCCUUUCCUUAGGUGGACAUAGGCAUCAAGACAUGCCUGACUUAGAGACCAGCUUGCCUGCUAGUGUGCAAAGCUUGUUUGGAAAAGACUCUUAGCCUGGUGUCUCACAAUAAGAACUUUAGGGAGGUGAGAAGCCAUUCCAAUGCUGGCAAAUCCAGCAGCGUGAAUAAAGGACAGCAGACAAGGCAGCCUUGGUGACAGUGGCCGAGAACAGUGGAGUCAGAAAUGGUCAGGAUGAGCGGGGCAGAAGCAAAGAAAAUGAGGGAUAAGAAGAUCUAGAGAUGGGCACUCCAGGCUUUGGUUACUGGAGGAGUCCCAGAGAAUAUCCAAGCCUAAGGACUAAGAAUCCUAACACCCUGGACUCAAGAGCUGCGACAUUGAACAUUCACUGCCUGUGUAAGAGAGCAGCACCAGAAGAUGUCACCUACUUUCUUCUGCUUGCUUCUUACUGAAGCCAAAGAUGACACCUGUCAGGGCUGCUGUUCUGUAAAACCCACAUCGAUAAGCCUUCCACCUGGUAUCGUAGAGCUGGGCGGUUAACAUUGAUUGUCAGCAUGGCGGGAUCUAAAGUAAUCCAGGAACCGAACCCCUGAGCAUUCCUUGAGGGAGUGUCUAGAUUGGGCUAAUUGAUAAUAGCACCUCCCACCUCGAAGAUGACAACUGAGGUCAAGUUUGGAGUCACCGAACAGUCCGAUCCAGACCUUCUGUGAAGCCCUGCCAGCUGAUGAGAUGUCCCUGGGCCUCUGAGAAAAAUGCUGACUAUCCCAGGCUUCAGGAGUUUGCUACUAAAUCCGCUCACAUUAAAACUGGGAGCCAAUGUUGAAGGAGUGCUCAAGAGUUCACUUAGAAAUUCUCUUGGGUGUUUCUUUAGAAACUCACUUGCACCUCUGUCAUCUUCCCCCAUUAUUUAGGAUGAGCCAUUAGAAAAUUUGAAGUUAACCAACUUAUACAUUGUACCAUGGAAUCUUCAAAAAACUGAAUUAAAUAGAAAAUGUGACCUUUUAGAAAUUUAAAAAAAAAAACCCAAAUACUGUUUGCCAUUACAGAUUUUUAAAAAAAGCCAAAUGAUUCUUCCUACCUCCCAAAUUCAUUGUAUUAUCUUCUUGCUGUGAUAGAUAGAAUAAGUAGCCAGGAUGAUCGUAAAUGUUUUACGUCUGGGUGCUAAUAGAUAGAGAUUGAAUAGAAUGUUCUUACUGACAAAAGCCUUGAUUUGGCAAAUGACACAAUAUGUAAAUAAGGAUUUAUAACAGAAUAAUUACAUCAAUCAAUAAUUAAUCAAUAACUUCCAAUACCAUUGCCUUCUAAGAAAUGCUUGCAGGGACCGCAGAGCUAAGAGGUCAUUUUGGGAGCAUUACCAAACAGAUAACAUCUUUACUCCUGAUUGUGAAUUCUGUUCCAAUUAGGAUGUAAAUGGGUUUUCCUGAUGAAUGGUUAAUGUUAGGGAGCUAAGACACCUUGGAAAUAACUUCUCAGACGCAAUGAGGGCUUUUUAUAUGCAACUUGCUGUUGGCAGUCCUUAGCAUGCUGUCUGAACGUCUUUUUGAUUCUACGACAUUUUGUCUGUCAUUAGCAUCUCUCAGGAUGGAAAUAGCACGCAAAAGGCUUCCUUUGAGGCUUUUAAUCCAGGAGCUCUAGAUUCAGCCUCAGAAUGUUAACUCAGUGGGCCAUGGUGCCCAACAGUGUGCCGUCUUCAAGAAAGGCGAUCCCAGAAAGCAUCAUGUACUACAGCUGGCAUGAUGGAGCUUUUACAAUUGAGAGCAUCGUCCUCACACUAUUCUUGCCGUUAUUAUUCUAAAUACUCAAUGAGAGUAAUAGGAAUCUGGGCUAGCGAGACAGUUCAGUAGCUAAUGUGUUCACUAGGUAGGCCUGGCAACCAGAACCCACACAGAACGGAAAGCAGAGGACUAACUGCAUGAAGUUGACCUCUGACCCCCACACGUGCAACGCUAUGCGCAUGCUCCUUCGACACCGUGCGCUUUCACGGAAGAACGAUGAAUCCAUUUCUAAAGAAUACUAUGAAUUAGCACACAUGGGUUAGUCUUGCUUUCCCCCCUAAGUUCGAGACACUGUUAAAGUUUCACCUCUGUUUUCUCAUCAUUUUUCUCACCGUAAGAUUGGAAGAGGCUGCCUUGUCUUCAUUGUGUAAACAGGAUGGUUGAGGUGAUGUCAGAGACUGGUGAUGGCUAUCCACUAGGAUGUGGGGUGAAGGUUCAUGGUCCUCUGAGUCACUGUUACAUCACCACUGUUAGGUACCCAGCUCUUUUUUCUGAUUAUUUAUCCCAAUUUGCCGUCUCCAGAAUCAUCAUUUUGUCUUUCUCUCAAAAGCUUCACAUGAGACAAUCGCUUGUCCCCCACACGUCAGGCAAAAAUCAGUUUUGGCUGAACACGUUAAUUCAGCUGACACGUGAUUGUUAAAUGUGUGCUAUGCCAAAAUAAAAAAAAAAUUCUACAUCAGAUGUUUUUAAUAAAAAAUGUAAAAUG